UACGGAGGGAGCUAGCGUUGUUCGGAAUUACUGGGCGUAAAGCGCACGUAGGCGGCUUUGUAAGUCAGGGGUGAAAUCCUGGAGCUCAACUCCAGAACUGCCUUUGAUACUGGGAAUCUCGAGUCCGGGAGAGGUGAGUGGAACUGCGAGUGUAGAGGUGAAAUUCGUAGAUAUUCGCAAGAACACCAGUGGCGAAGGCGGCUCACUGGCCCGGUACUGACGCUGAGGUGCGAAAGCGUGGGGGGCAAACAGG
rnacentral:rRNA from 1 species